CGGACAUCAUUGCCAGACCGGACAAAAUUUUCAACAAAAAUGCCUGUAAAACAAUCUGCAUGGAAGCCUGACCUCACACCACCCAAGCCUGAGUCUCCCUGGGAGGCUGAAGUGCUGCAGGGAAAUCCAACAAAGCUCUGGAUCCAGGGCUACUUGCAAUUGUCUGGACACCGAGGCUUGAAGUACCUAUCCAGGGUGCUGGACUGUGUUCUGCCACUUGCGGGCAUAGGCUAAGCUGGGC